rnacentral:rRNA from 1 species
AUGCACGCUGGCGGCGUGCCUAAUACCUGCCAGUCGAGCUAACGGACGAGAAGCUUGCUUCUCUGAUGUUAGCGGCGGACGGGUGAGUAACACGUGGAUAACCUACCUAUAAGACUGGGAUAACUUCGGGAAACCGUAGCUAAUACCGGAUAAUAUUUUGAACCGCAUGGUUCAAAAGUGAAAGACGGUCUUGCUGUCACUUAUAGAUGGAUCCGCGCUGCAUUAGCUAGUUGGUAAGGUAACGGCUUACCAAGGCAACGAUGCAUAGCCGACCUGAGAGGGUGAUCGGCCACACUGGAACUGAGACACGGUCCAGACUCCUACGGGAGGCAGCAGUAGGGAAUCUUCCGCAAUGGGCGAAAGCCUGACGGAGCAACGCCGCGUGAGUGAUGAAGGUCUUCGGAUCGUAAAACUCUGUUAUUAGGGAAGAACAUAUGUGUAAGUAACUGUGCACAUCUUGACGGUACCUAAUCAGAAAGCCACGGCUAACUACGUG